rnacentral:rRNA from 4 species
AAAUUGAAGAGUUUGAUCAUGGCUCAGAUUGAACGCUGGCGGCAGGCCUAACACAUGCAAGUCGAACGGUAGCACAGAGAGCUUGCUCUCGGGUGACGAGUGGCGGACGGGUGAGUAAUGUCUGGGAAACUGCCUGAUGGAGGGGGAUAACUACUGGAAACGGUGGCUAAUACCGCAUAACGUCGCAAGACCAAAGAGGGGGACCUUCGGGCCUCUUGCCAUCAGAUGUGCC